AAGACCCCAUGGAGCUUUACUGUAGCUUGACAUUGGGUCUUGGUACUACAUGUACAGGAUAGGUGGGAGGCUUUGAAACCAGGACGCCAGUUUUGGCGGAGCCAUCCUUGGGAUACCACCCUUGUAGUACUGGGACUCUAACCAUAGGCCAUGAAUCUGGUCUUGGGACACUGUCAGGUGGGCAGUUUGACUGGGGCGGUCGCCUCCCAAAAGGUAACGGAGGCGCUCAAAGGUUCUCUCAGUACGGGCGGAAAUCGUACGUAGAGUGUAAAGGCAAAAGAGAGCUUGAUUGCAAGACAUACAGGUCGAGCAAGGAUGAAAAUCGGACUUAGUGAUCCGAUGAGUCGGCGUGGAAGGGCCAUCGCUCAACGGAUAAAGGCUACCGUGGGGAUAACAGGCUUAUCUCCCCCAAGAGUCCAC
rnacentral:rRNA from 1 species